GGUCAGCAGCCUGCCCUGUGCCCAGAGCAACCACCCCUGCAGGGCCAAAGAGAAGGAGAAGAUGGGGCUCCUCAUCGUCAUCCUCAGCUUCAUCUUCAUGAAGGGCAACGUGGUCAAAGACAGUGCUCUGUGGGAAUUCCUGCGCUGGCUCCGGGUGCACCCAGGGUAGGAUAUGGAGGGGUGGGGGGCACACACAGGGAAUGGGGGGCACGGGGCUUGUCCCCCCCC